AUGGUUGGUGGGAAAACCAAAUCCAUUGUCUUCCAGGAACCAGGAUUUCUAGGGAUCCUGCUGCUGGUCACAGGAUGUCACCUGUCAACCUCUCUCUGUGGGGAUGAGUAUGGCAGCCGUGUAAACUCCCUCAUGAGCGGAUGCCACCAGGGCUAUCACUGGAUGUCCCAGCUGUAUUCAACAUUCGUAGGGGACAAGGGUCAGCUCUGCUCCUCACUGACGCCACUACGAAAGUCUAAUGUCCUCCUGUGCACAAGUGGUCAAAUGACUGAUGAGUUCAAAGUCAAGAACCCCACCUGUGGCUCACCCACCCAUGAGAAAAAGGGGCUGGACCCUGCAUCUUGUGAGCAGCUGCAGGGUUGCAGGGGGGUUGGGUCGGGUGUAUUAGGAGGGUUUGUGUGCAGGGUUAUAUCACAGUGUAAUGUGUUCGGAAGUGGCACCAAGUUGACCGUCCUCGGUCAGCCCAAGGCUUCCCCCUCGGUCACUCUCUUCCCGCCCUCCUCUGAGGAGCUUCAAGCCAACAAGGCCACACUAGUGUGUCUGAUCAGUGACUUCUACCCGGGAGCCGUGGAAGUGGCCUGGAAGGCAGAUGGCAGCGCUGUCAACGCAGGAGUGGAGACCACCAAACCCUCCAAACAGAGCAACAACAAGUACGCGGCCAGCAGCUACCUGAGCCUGACGCCCGACCAGUGGAAGUCCCGCAAGAGCUACAGCUGCCAGGUCACGCACGAAGGCAGCACCGUGGAGAAGACAGUGGCCCCUGCAGAAUGUUCAUAGGUUCCCACCCCUCACCCCACCCACAGGGGCCUGGAGCUGCAGGAUCCCAGGAGAGGGUUCUCUCUGCAUCCCAAGCCAUCCAGCCCUUCUCCCUGCACUCAAGAAACCUUCAAUAAAUAUCUUCACUCAACCAAAAA